UACGGGGGGGCAAGCGUUGUUCGGAAUUACUGGGCGUAAAGGGCUCGUAGGCGGCCAACUAAGUCAGACGUGAAAUCCCUCGGCUUAACCGGGGAACUGCAUCUGAUACUGGAUGGCUUGAGAUUGGGAGAGGGAUGCGGAAUUCCAGGUGUAGCGGUGAAAUGCGUAGAUAUCUGGAGGAACACCGGUGGCGAAGGCGGCAUCCUGGACCAACACUGACGCUGAGGAGCGAAAGCGUGGGGAGCAAACAGG
rnacentral:rRNA from 1 species